ACCACCCUACAGGUGCCCUAACCGCCCUACACGUGCCCUAACCGCCCUAUAGGUGCCCUAACCACCCUCCAGAUGCCCUAACCGCCCUAUAGGUGCCCUAACCACCCUACAGACGCCCUCCAGGUGCCCUAACCACCCUACAGACGCCCUCCAGGUGCCCUACCCUCCCUCCAUCCACCCACCCCCUCCCCCCCGCGCGGUACCUGCUGGGUAUCUCUCGUGCACGGGGCCGCCGUCCACCUGGAGGGUGGCGUUGCCUCCGCUGCGGGUGAAGCGGACGACGUGGAAGCGGCCGUCGCUGACGGCGGCGCCGCGCUCCUCCAGCGCGAUGUCCUCGGUGCCCACGUUGAACAGCACGCCCAGCGCGCCCUGCGCCUGCGGGGACACCGCUCACACACGGCCCCCACGCCGAGCCUCGGCCCGACACACGGACGGGACGGACGCGACGGACGCGACGGAGCCAAAGUCCCCAACCCCACGGGCCAACCCCGUGCCCCAGGGUCGUCCCAAAGGUCCCAACCACGCAGAUCCAACCGAUGAUCCCAAUGAUGCCAACCGAUGACCCCAACCGAUGAUCCCAACCCCGUAGAACCAACCAAUGUCCCCGACCGAUGACCCCAAUCCUGCACACCCAACCAAUGACCCCAAUGACGCCAACCGAUGAUCCCAACCGAUGACCCCAACACUGUAGACCCAACCAAUGUCCCCAACCGAUGACCCCAAUGACCCCAACCCUGCACACCCAACCAAUGACCCCAAUGACCCCAACCGAUGACCCCAACCGAUGACCCCAACCGAUGAUCCCAGCCCCGUAGAACCAACCAAUGUCCCCGACCGAUGACCCCAAUGACCCCAACCCUGCACACCCAACCAAUGACCCCAAUGACCCCAACCCUGCACACCCAACCAAUGACCCCAAUGACCCCAACUGAUGACCCCAAUGUCCCCAACCGAUGACCCCAACCGAUGAUCCCAACCCCGUAGACCCAACCAAAGACCCCAAUGUCCCCAACCAAUGAUCCCAACCAAUGACCCCAAUGUGCCCAACUGAUGACCCCAAUGUGCCCAACCAAUGACCCCAAACCUGCACACCCAACCAAUGACCUCAAUGUCCCCAACCGAUGACCCCAACCGAU
rnacentral:lncRNA from 1 species